rnacentral:lncRNA from 1 species
UUGGUCCUAAUCUAGCGGGUGACCCCUGGAAUCAGUCCUAUACAUUUAAAUGUGCUAACAGGUGAUCCCUGAGUAUGUCAGUCCUAUCUAUCGGUGACAUCUCGUACCUACGCUGGCUACGUAGUUCUAAAACUUAGAGAUUUUUUCUAGGGAUCUCAGUCCUAUUCUAGCGGGUGAGUCCCCAUCCCUAGGGUCGCUCGAUGCUGAAUCCUACUCCCAUCUGAAAGACACUGAACUUAUUAAUUGAGUUGAACUAAUUAACGGAACUGAAUUGAUUAGUUGAAUUAAUACUAGUGGUAUUGUUUAGCAGAGCUAAACUGAGUUUACUGAGUUUC